UUUUAUCUUAUUUUGGCAUUGAAGAAGAAUAAUCCAAGCCCAAAAGGGUUUUCUCACCACCACUUAUCUGUUAGUGGUGAGUGGAAGAAUUCUUUUCCAAUUGUAAUUCUUCAAAUAUCUCAAGUGGCCAUCAUCGGAUCUAAAGAGAGGCUCGUCGAAUCUAGAGUGAGGCUCGUCGGAUCUAAAGAGAGGAAGGUUGGCUGGGGCUGGAGAUGGGGAUGGGGAUGUGGCUGGUUGCGCGGCGAGGAAGGGGUGUGGCGGCCGAAGCUAUGAACACGCGGAGGAGGCAUGGGUGCCUUGAUAAAUUUUUGGCACAGUGAUGAGAUCAUUUUCCCUUCUGUUUGGUCGGAGAAGAAAGUUUAUGGAUGGUGGGCGAUGGCUAGGUGGUGGAGAGUGCUCCACUACACCUCAAACCCAAUCAGAAUCCAAUCUUGAUAGUAAGACCGCAACAUGAUCAUCUUCAAUUCUCCUGCCACAUCAAAUGAUCAGAAUCCAACCAAAAUGAAAAUGAUGAUGCGUAAUAGCACGAAAAUAAUGAAGAAGAUGAUUAUCUGGAUGAUGAUGUCAUGGAUCCUGAUGCUAAAUGGCCACUCAUAGAGUGUCAUGGCUCGAGGAUGAUGAUGAUAUGGCAAAUACACGUGAAAAUGAAAAAUGCAUACAACCGUAUCCAGUAUGAAAUUAAGAGCUUAGGUUUUCGA